rnacentral:rRNA from 1 species
AGUGAACGCUGGCGGUAGGCCUAACACAUGCAAGUCGAACGACAGCACAGUAAGAGCUUGCUCUUACGGGUGGCGAGUGGCGGACGGGUGAGGAAUACAUCGGAAUCUACUUUUUCGUGGGGGAUAACGUAGGGAAACUUACGCUAAUACCGCAUACGACCUACGGGUGAAAGCAGGGGAUCUUCGGACCUUGCGCGAUUGAAUGAGCCGAUGUCGGAUUAGCUAGUUGGCGGGGUAAAGGCCCACCAAGGCGACGAUCCGUAGCUGGUCUGAGAGGAUGAUCAGCCACACUGGAACUGAGACACGGUCCAGACUCCUACGGGAGGCAGCAGUGGGGAAUAUUGGACAAUGGGCGCAAGCCUGAUCCAGCCAUACCGCGUGGGUGAAGAAGGCCUUCGGGCUGUAAAGCCCUUUUGUUGGGAAAGAAAAGCAGCAGGUUAAUACCCCGCUGUUCCGACGGUACCCAAAGAAUAAGCACCGGCUAACUUCGUG